UUGCAGCCUGUGAUGCAUUUCUUGCAGUCCUGAUGCAUGGAGAAAUGCUCAACUCCUGGUGCAUGGAGAAAAGGGGGAAUCAGGCAAGAAGGCGACGACGCAUUCGUAUGUCAAUCCAUAUCAACUUUCGAUGCCACUGACUGCGCCUACCAUGGUGACCAUGGGUAACGGGGAAUCAGGGUUCCAUUCAGUACAGGGACCCUGAGAAAUGGCUACCACAUGCAAGAAAGGCAGCAGGCGCGCAAAUGACCCACUCCCGACGUGGGAAAGUAGUGACGA